GCCGGGUGUGGUGACACACACCUGUGGUCCCAGCUACCCAGGAGGCUGAGGUGGGAGGAUCACCUGAGCCCGGGGGGUUGAGGCUGCAGUGAGCAGUGAUCAUGCCACUGCACUCCAGCCUGGGCAACAGAGUGAGACCCUGUCUCAA
rnacentral:SRP_RNA from 1 species